rnacentral:snRNA from 1 species
AGCUUUGCGCAGUGGCAGUAACAUAGCUGAUGAGGUUCAUCCGAGGCGUGUUUUUUGCUAGUUGAAAACUAUACCCAAUACCCCGCCCCUGUGGACGUAUAAACCGUUCGCUGUGGCAAUUUCUGAUGGGUUCCCCGGAAC